UGGGGAAUAUUGGACAAUGGGCGAAAGCCUGAUCCAGCCAUGCCGCGUGUGUGAAGAAGGUCUUCGGAUUGUAAAGCACUUUAAGUUGGGAGGAAGGGCACUUACCUAAUACGUAUCUGUUUUGACGUUACCGACAGAAUAAGCACCGGCUAACUCUGUGCCAGCAGCCGCGGUAAUACAGAGGGUGCAAGCGUUAAUCGGAAUUACUGGGCGUAAAGCGCGCGUAGGUGGUUUGUUAAGUUGGAUGUGAAAUCCCCGGGCUCAACCUGGGAACUGCAUUCAAAACUGACAAGCUAGAGUAUGGUAGAGGGUGGUGGAAUUUCCUGUGUAGCGGUGAAAUGCGUAGAUAUAGGAAGGAACACCAGUGGCGAAGGCGACCACCUGGACUGAUACUGACACUGAGGUGCGAAAGCGUGGGGAGCAAACAGGAUUAGAUACCCCCGUAGUCCCUGAGCGGGCUGGCAAGGCGCAU
rnacentral:rRNA from 1 species